AAGAANCUAGCGGCAGGCCUAACACAUGCAAGUCGAACGGUAACAGAUCUAGCUUGCUAGAUGCUGACGAGUGGCGCACGGGUGCGUAACGCGUAUGCAACCUACCCUUGACAGGGGGAUAGCCCAGAGAAAUUUGGAUUAAUACCCCAUAAUACUUUGAAGUGGCAUCACUUUAAUUUUAAAACUCCGGUGGUCAAGGAUGGGCAUGCGUCCCAUUAGUUAGUUGGUAAGGUAACGGCUUACCAAGGCAAUGAUGGGUAGGGGUUCUGAGAGGAUGAUCCCCCACACUGGUACUGAGACACGGACCAGACUCCUACGGGAGGCAGCAGUGAGGAAUAUUGCGCAAUGGACGAAAGUCUGACGCAGCCAUGCCGCGUGCAGGAAGACUGCCUUAUGGGUUGUAAACUGCUUUUGUAUAGGAAGAAACCUUUUUACGUGUAAGAAGCUGACGGUACUAUACGAAUAAGGACCGGCUNACUNCGUGCCAGCAGCCGCGGUAAU
rnacentral:rRNA from 1 species